ACACAUGUCAAUAAGCGGAGGAAAAGAAACCAACAGGGAUUGCCUCAGUAACGGCGAGUGAAGCGGCAACAGCUCAAAUUUGAAAUCUGGCCCUAGGCCCGAGUUGUAAUUUGCAGAGGAUGCUUUUGGUGAGGUGCCUUCCGAGUUCCCUGGAACGGGACGCCAUAGAGGGUGAGAGCCCCGUCUGGUCGGACACCGAGCCUCUGUAAAGCUCCUUCGACGAGUCGAGUAGUUUGGGAAUGCUGCUCUAAAUGGGAGGUAUAUGUCUUCUAAAGCUAAAUACCGGCCAGAGACCGAUAGCGCACAAGUAGAGUGAUCGAAAGAUGAAAAGCACUUUGAAAAGAGAGUUAAAUAGCACGUGAAAUUGUUGAAAGGGAAGCGUUUAUGACCAGACUUGGCCCGGUUGAUCAUCCAGCGUUCUCGCUGGUGCACUCUGCCGGUCCAGGCCAGCAUCAGUUCGUCGCGGGGGAUAAAGGUUUCGGGAAUGUGGCUCCUCCGGGAGUGUUAUAGCCCGUUGCGUAAUACCCUGCGGUGGACUGAGGUCCGCGCUUCUGCAAGGAUGCUGGCGUAAUGGUCAUCAACGA
rnacentral:rRNA from 1 species